UGGGCGAAAGCCUGAUCCAGCCAUGCCGCGUGUGUGAAGAAGGCCUUCGGGUUGUAAAGCACUUUCAGCGGGGAGGAAGGGCAGUAGAUUAAUACUUUGMKSUAUUGACGUUACCCGCAGAAUAAGCACCGGCUAACUUCGUGCCAGCAGCCGCGGUAAUACGGAGGGUGCAAGCGUUAAUCGGAAUUACUGGGCGUAAAGCGCGCGUAGGCGGUUUGUUAAGUYGGAUGUGAAAUCCCCGGGCUCAACCUGGGAACUGCAUUCGAAACUGGCGAGCUAGAGUGUGGUAGAGGGGGGUGGAAUUCCCGGUGUAGCGGUGAAAUGCGUAGAGAUCGGGAGGAACACCAGUGGCGAAGGCGRCCCCCUGGACCGAGACUGACGCUGAGGAGCGAAAG
rnacentral:rRNA from 1 species